UACGGGGGGGGCAAGCGUUGUCCGGAUUUACUGGGCGUAAAGCGCGUGUAGGCGGCGAUUUAAGUCUUGGGUGAAAGGCGGGGGCUUAACCCCCGAGCGGCCCCAGAAACUGGAUCGCUUGAGUGUCGGAGAGGGGAGUGGAAUUCUCGGUGUAGCGGUGAAAUGCGUAGAGAUCGAGAGGAACACCCGUGGCGAAGGCGGCUCCCUGGCCGAACACUGACGCUGAGACGCGAAAGCGCGGGGAGCGAACGGG
rnacentral:rRNA from 1 species